rnacentral:tRNA from 1 species
AUCGGUCUAGCUCAACAGGUAGAGCUGCGGUCUCCAAAACCGCGUGACAAGGUUCGAGUCCUUGGGCCGGUGCCA